rnacentral:rRNA from 1 species
UACGAGGGGGGCGAGCGUUGUCCGGAUUUAUUGGGCGUAAAGAGCGUGUAGGCGGCCUGACAGGUCAGCUGUGAAAACUCGAGGCUCAACCUCGAGACGUCGGUUGAAACCAUCUGGCUAGAGUCCGGAAGAGGAGUGUGGAAUUCCCGGUGUAGCGGUGAAAUGCGCAGAUAUCGGGAAGAACACCCGUGGCGAAGGCGGCACUCUGGGACGGUACUGACGCUGAGACGCGAAAGCGUGGGGAGCGAACAGG